AUUGAACGCUGGCGGCAUGCCUUACACAUGCAGGUCGAACGGCAUCGCGGGAAAGCUUGCUUUCCUGGCGGCGAGUGGCGAACGGGUGAGUAACACAUCGGAACGUACCGGCUAGUGGGGGAUAACCCGUCGAAAGACGGGCUAAUACCGCAUACGCUCUUCGGAGGAAAGCAGGGGACCUUUGGGCCUUGCGCUAGUCGAGCGGCCGAUGUCCGAUUAGCUAGUUGGUGGGGUAAAGGCCUACCAAGGCGACGAUCGGUAGCGGGUCUGAGAGGACGAUCCGCCACACUGGGACUGAGACACGGCCCAGACUCCUACGGGAGGCAGCAGUGGGGAAUCUUGGACAAUGGGGGCAACCCUGAUCCAGCAAUGCCGCGUGGGUGAAGAAGGCCUUCGGGUUGUAAAGCCCUUUCGGCAGGGAAGAAAUCGGCGGGGCGAAUAACCCUGCUGGAUGACGGUACCUGCAGAAGAAGCACCGGCUAACUACGUG
rnacentral:rRNA from 1 species